UACGUAGGGUGCGAGCGUUAAUCGGAAUUACUGGGCGUAAAGCGUGCGCAGGCGGUUUUGUAAGCCAGAUGUGAAAUCCCCGGGCUUAACCUGGGAAUGGCAUUUGGGACUGCAAGGCUGGAGUGCGGCAGAGGAGACUGGAAUUCCUGGUGUAGCAGUGAAAUGCGUAGAUAUCAGGAGGAAUACCGAUGGCGAAGGCAGGUCUCUGGGCUGGUAACUGACGCUGAGGAGCGAAAAGCAUGGGGAGCGAACAGG
rnacentral:rRNA from 1 species